UACGGAGGGUGCAAGCGUUAUCCGGAUUUACUGGGUUUAAAGGGUGCGCAGGCGGAUAUGUAAGUCAGUGGUGAAAUCUCCGGGCUUAACCCGGAAACUGCCGUUGAUACUAUAUAUCUUGAAUGCUGUGGAGGUAAGCAGAAUAUGUCAUGUAGCGGUGAAAUGCUUAGAUAUGACGCAGAACACCAAUUGCGAAGGCAGCUUGCUACACGAAUAUUGACACUGAGGCACGAAAGCGUGGGGAUCAAACAGG
rnacentral:rRNA from 1 species